AACGAACGCUGGCGGCAUGCCUAACACAUGCAAGUCGAACGAGACCUUCGGGUCUAGUGGCGCACGGGUGCGUAACGCGUGGGAACCUGCCCUUAGGUUCGGAAUAACUCCCCGAAAGGGGUGCUAAUACCGGAUAAUGUCUUCGCACCAAAGAUUUAUCGCCUUUGGAUGGGCCCGCGUUGGAUUAGCUAGUUGGUAGGGUAAAAGCCUACCAAGGCGACGAUCCAUAGCUGGUCUGAGAGGAUGAUCAGCCACACUGGGACUGAGACACGGCCCAGACUCCUACGGGAGGCAGCAGUGGGGAAUAUUGGACAAUGGGCGAAAGCCUGAUCCAGCAAUGCCGCGUGAGUGAUGAAGGCCUUAGGGUUGUAAAGCUCUUUUACCCGGGAUGAUAAUGACAGUACCGGGAGAAUAAGCGCCGGCUAACUCCGUG
rnacentral:rRNA from 1 species